GGCGGCGGCGAUACAACACUUACUGAGAAUAUCAUUCACGCGAUUAAAUUGACCCUCGACUAUACUUACUUGUACCAUCUACUGAGAAUUCGUAAACCUUAUUGUAAAUACAAUAAGGCCCGCCACGGGUAAACUGACGUUUGACUGUAUUGUAUUGAAUGAGACAGCAUAUGGUAUAUUCAUCAAACAGCUGGCGAUCUCCUCCAUACUCCAUCUACCGUUUAAGUGUCUAGUCUUCUUGAUAAAAUCUUUCAGGGAAAUGGUCACAUACAUAGUGCUCAUUUAAUUUGUUUGAUCUAAUUAUUAGAUUAGAUUCUAAUAAGACAUUUGAACGGCAUGUAUGAUAUUCUCAGGAAAUGUUAACGGUCGCCGUACCAGUUCUGUGGAUUUGAAAAAUACGUCCUAUCGUCAUUCGUCAUUAUAGAACCAUCACACGGCUUGAGAUGCUUGCUGAUAAGGAACAUCCCCUCGGUUUUACCUUCCAAUUUUGAACAUGGGGAGGAAAAGUAUUUAAAACCUGUAAUAAAUGGGGACUUUAGAAAUAUUCCAAUUGUGCUCUUUUUUCCUACUUAGACUUGUAGGUAUUAUACGCUCGAAUAGGAUUUUAAGUACCAAGAUGGAAUGCAUAUUUGACAGAAGUAUCAAAUGUACUAAAUGGUCGUCGCCACUUGACUGGUCCUCUGCCCCGAAAUGUCGGCCAAUUGAACGAGGAAUUCCGCGCGCUAGUCAUGUAUCAUUAAAUUAUAUUAGGGGUCCCAUGCGAAGCUGUUAGGACAACUUGGCCAAAGCGAAAGCAACCGUAAUGCUGGCGCAUAAGAGUUGCCUUCACUUCGGCCGUCGAGCACUUAUUUAUCGUUAGAUUCCUUGCACUUGAACCCAGUUCUGUAUUUACUUGUGUUUUGUAUUUACUUGAUUGUUUAGGACUAUGCUGUUUUCUUUCUAUGAACGUAACAUGUCAUCUAUAAAUUACAUUGAUACCUUUACCAACAAAACUAUCACGCAAUGGGAUUUUAAUGAUGAUUUAUUGAUCAUAGAAAUAAAAUCGCGUAAUCUGUUUCAAAUGUAUCGUAUCUGAAAUGUCUGUACUGUACGUGGGUCUGUACAAAUUGACAAGUGGAUAUAUUAUGUAGAGUAGCUAGGUACUACACAGCAGGAGUAGCUAAGCGAGCGAGAUUCUACAUAAAUGAUUUACACAUGCUCUUUUUCUUAACAAUAAAAUCAUGCCAAGAUCAUUUUGAACAUCUCGUCCCUUCAGCUAUUUUUGCUACUGACUAUACUAGUCGUAAUUUGACUAUUGGCUAGUUUCAAAAUUCUACCAAAUAGAUAUUGUUUUCAAGUAAGUACAGACUGUUCAGAUAUGUUGUAAGUAUGUUUGUGUAUAGUUAAGGCCUAAACUUCUCCACUUGUACAGUCAGCAGCAGAAGUUGCCAAGCGGGCGAGGUGUUUAAAAUGAUCUUGACUCGACUUUAUUGUUAAGGGAAUAAGAGCGUGUCAAGGUAAUUUUGAACACCUCGCCCGCUCAGCAACUUGUGCUGCUGACUGUAUCAUUAUGAUGUCAACACGCCGUUUCACCCGCAGCAUACAUAUACUCGUAUCUAAACUACUUGUUCAAUGUCAAUAUGUGUACAAUAUUAUGACGAAAUAGAAUCAUGAUGUGUGUACAUAUUUAUGAGGACUAUGCUUGUGUAUGAUGUGUGCUCACGGGCGUCACCUGAUUUGUUUUUUGUAUAAAAGAGCAAGCUUAAAUAAUUUAUAAAUAAAGUUAUUGUAAAUGUGUCUCGUUGUAAAGAUAUAUUGUUUUAUAUGCGUUUUCUUGUAUGCCGUUUACAUAGAAGUAUAUCAUGUAUUGUUACGAUUUAUUCGCUUGUAUGUUUGUUGCCACGUUCAGGUGAACGUGGCCGUCGGCCGCGAGGCGAGGGCAUCUUGUCUGGUUUUAUCACUGCCUCAUAGUAUUUCUUCUUGACAUUUCUCAUCUCAAGUGGAAAUAUUGCGAAAGUACCGGUGUAAUACAUAUAUACUCAAGAGCAAUAAAAAUAGGUAUCUGUAUGGAAUGGAAAUAUACAGUUACUUACGUAUUUUAAUUGUUUUUGAGAGUAAUUAAUUUUAACCUUGUAACAUAUAAGUAUUUAGGUAGAUGUACAUUAUUAUACUUAUUUUAUUUGAUUAUGAGAAUAUAACUUGUAAAAAAUAAUUUGUAUUUUGUUAAAGUACAGACUUGGUUGCAUUUGAAGUUAUGAUAGCGUGUAAAUGUUUUCUCUGUAAAGUGGAGAGAGAGGCGGCCGGUUUAUUUAUUACUUGUACUCGUACUGUUGGCAGUACUCGUACCGUACUCGGCAUCAAAAGAUCGCACCGAAUGCUCAAUAAAUUGUUAAUGAUGGAUAUCUCGUUUUUAUCGGUUAGGACGCUGGCACAUCAGUAGGUACCUACUGCAGUGCCUUUCCGACGUUAUCAGGGAGGAGUCAUUCAAUAAACUUUUAUUAUUGUAGAUGGCGCUGCUCGGUGGCUUCUGGUCUUGCAAUCGCAGCGCAACGCCAUCUAGUAUCCAAUUUCGGAGUUAGAUAAAACGAAUGACGUUGCGCUUUAGUUUUUGGGACUCGGAGCGUAAUCUACAACGAAAUUGAGGCCUUUUAUGAACAUUAUAACAGUUUAUUAAUUGAAUUCUCCCUGCUGUAUAUUCAUCUAUCCGUGGUGCGGUUGAGUGAGCGAGAGGGUGUUGCAAUAAUUGAGGUUGUCCCGCUUCUGAUCACAUAUCGGCUGAGUUCACCGGGGCGCCGCCGACCGCCGCCCAUACAAACCCACCACAUUUUAUAGUGUUUAGAGGUAUUCGUUUUCAGCAAAUGAGGGACCCAAUCCAAGAAGUUUUAACGAGAUGCUCUGGCUAUUGUCAAAAAGCAGUUAUUACAGACAGCGUUUCACUACGCACACACUACGCCAGCACGCCACACGAAACAUAAUGUAUGGAGAUGAUCAGUUGAUCACGUAACAUCCUUUCAUCAUCUGUCAUCCCGAUACGUUUCUAUUUUUCGAUUAGCCUUUGGCGAUCAAUGUUAUCUUGACUAGGCUGGGGGCUAAGUCAAUAUGACAGUCGUUCAUUGAUAAACGCCAAACGAAAAGACAAAAUGUAUCGGGAUGAUGAAUGCUAAAAAGAAUCAAGUGACUGUUUCCACACAUUAUUUAAGUUUCGAAUGGCGUGCUCUAUCAACGAUUGUUAUCUUGGCUAGGCCCCGUUUUCGUAGCAUGAUCAGUAUCACAAGUGGGAAGUUUGUAUGUGGUAGUAUUAGAAGGUGGCGGCCGGCGGGCGCUCAGUAGGUAGUUUAAUUGUUACGCUUACUGUAGCUUUAACGCUUGCACCGCACGCACGGGCAUGCACGGGCCGCUCCGCAGUGGUAGGUGUUUAACGUGUAACUUGGAACUAUACCUACAUAUACAGUGUAUGUAUAAGGUGUAUCCUACCGUUGUUAUCUCUUCUUUAGGCGCUGUUGUUUGGUCGCGGCCGCGUGGACGCCGGCUCCUUCAUAUUCUUGAUAUUCCAAAGUUUAUUUAUAUUAUAAUACUUGUAGAGCGAUAUUUUCAAAACGUUUAUUGUAUGUUGUGAAUUAGAGCGUAUAUUUUGUGACGCCUUCAUAGUCAAUUGCUUCUAUAGUACCUAUGUACGUUCACGCGCCGCCGACCCGUCUGUUAUCUAGUAUACAAUGUACCUUUCAUUUAUAGCGAACAGAACUUUAAUUCUUGACGUUGACGUGUAUAUGUGUAUUUAAAGCUAAAAUGAUAUAGUAAAUUUGAUAAAUACAGGUAAAUGUAAGCUUGAGUCGGUCGGGCGUAGUCCAACGUUCAGUAUUACCGCAUCACUACGUUUGUUCGCUAGCGGCCGAGCGGGAGGAUACUUGUUGAGAAUAGAUGGGUUAUUAUAGAGUAGAAGGAAUGUAAAGUAAGCACUUAUAUCGACCCCAGUACCGACAUGUUCGCGUGAACACAUACCUAGGGCUGGCACUUGCGAGCGUGUUAUGUUUUCACGUUAACUCUGAUCCUGUAAAGUACACAGUGAUUCCCUCGUUGUUGUAAUGUUAUCGUCCUAGGUUAAAUGCAGAACGCACCGAGGAACUGCGACGGUAAUUUUAUUCUAUCCACUUGUAGUAGUGUCUUUAAUUAGGACAGGUAGCCAAUUAAUAAUUAAAAUAUAAUUGGUGUACUAAUUGAAUGAAAUCGUCAUGUAUUUCCAAUAGCAAAUACAUUUGUUGUAAGUAAAAAAAUAUAUUUUUAUUUUACAAUCGUAUCAUAUCAGGGUUGUCUUGUUUAUAUCGUAGCAUCGAAUAGGUGACAACCCUGUUCCGUGGCCUCGUUGACCUUGAGCCCGCUCAUCGUCAGAUUGGGCGUCAGUGACACUGCUAUAAGGCUAUAAAUUCUGCCGUCUCAGUUCCAGGGGCGCCGAACCUUCAUUUUGCAAUAUCGAUGUUUAUUAUUAUACUAGUACCUACAUUAUAAAUACGUCGUUUCUUAUUCGCAGCUUUUUAUAUAUGCAACGAAAUAUAUAUCGUAAGUUUACCGUUCGUGCUUCUGUGAAGCGAAGUUUCUUGCAAUACAUAUACCUACUGAUUGUUGUAAAAGGCCCACAGCCGAGUACUUACCCUUGUCCACAACUUUAAUUGACCAUUUCUAAACUUUAUUGUAAAACAUACGGUUUACCGAUGGUCAGUUAAAAGUUUGCUCUUAUUAUUAUUUCAUUGAUUCUGAAGACUUCUUUCAUAAGAUAAAGUAAAGUCUAUACUUGAACUCGAGGUUUAUUUAUAGAUAUAUCCUCCGAUUACAUAAGUUUAAAAGUCGAUCUACUUCUACAUAAACAGGAGGUAUGGUAUAUUUUUCUUCAUCUUAUUAUUUUAGUUUAUGAAAGAAUCCUAGAGGGACCCAAAGGAAGUAAAGCUCUUGUUAAGAAGGCGGUAAUUUGUUCGAUAAGGCUUCUAAUUGGAAGUUAGCAAAUACUUCUGCCGAUGCCGCCACGCCGUGCUGUGCCUGGUUUCUUUAUAUUUCAUAUGUUAACUACAGGUAUAAGUUAAGUAAAUUCAAUUCACAAAGACGCGGUAUUCCUUGUAGUUACAAACAGAAACAAUAUUUAACGCGAUAUUACGCGAACUAAAUAGUUUGAGGCAGUUAAUACCGAUGCAGAUACUUAAUGCCUGCAUGAAUACAAACUGUUUGUAGAUAACACCGAACCGAAUCGGCGCGGCGCGUUAGCGUCGCUAUUAUAUCAACACAGCAUCCGUUCUUUUGAAAACGUUUCGUUGUUAGUAAACGAGA